rnacentral:rRNA from 1 species
GACGAACGCUGGCGGCGUGCUUAACACAUGCAAGUCGAACGGAAAGGCCCUGCUUUCCUGGUGCACUCGUGUGGCACACGGGUGUAACACAUGUGUGAUCUGCCCCCCGCACUUGGGUAAACCUGGGAAACUGUGGGUCAUACCCGAGAUGGGCCCUCUUUAGUGUGGUUGUUGGAAAAUGUUUUGGGUGUGGGGUGAGAGCUCGGCCGCUCUGCUUGUUGGUGGGGUGAUGGGCUACCAAGGCGGCGACGUGUAGCCGGCCUGAGAGGGUGGACGGCCACAUUGGGACUGAGAUACGGCCCAGACUCCUACGGGAGGCAGCAGUGGGGAAUAUUGCACAAUGGGCGCAAGCCUGAUGCAGCGACGCCGCGUGGGGGAUGACGGCCUUCGGGUUGUAAACUCCUUUCGCUAGGGACGAAGCUUUUUGUGACGGUACCUAGAGAAGAAGCACCGGCUAACUACGUG